UACAGAGGUCUCAAGCGUUGUUCGGAAUUACUGGGCGUAAAGGGCUCGUAGGCGGCCAACUAAGUCAGACGUGAAAUCCCUCGGCUUAACCGGGGAACUGCGUCUGAUACUGGAUGGCUAGAGGUUGGGAGAGGGAUGCGGAAUUCCAGGUGUAGCGGUGAAAUGCGUAGAGAUCGGGAGGAACGAUCUGUGGCGAAGGCGGCCAUCUGGACCAGCACUGACACUGAGGCACGAAAGCGUGGGGAGCAAACAGG
rnacentral:rRNA from 1 species